GAUCGAUGUUGACCCUCCGAUCAAACCUCUUAAACACGCGAGCGGAGCUGAUACUGAAGUAGGUGGAGACCACGCCGUCGUUGCCUCUGCCUACAUCUCAUACGCGCGUCGUCUCAAUCUAGAGUGCUCAAAGCAGAUGCGGGUCUUCUCUGACGGGAUCUCACAGCAUUGUGGAAAAUUGAUAUGGAUGGGAAAGUGAAUGAAGCAGUUGAGAUAUGCUUUGGGUCUUUUCACCGUUAUGCACAAUAUAUGAAUUUCUCACACCCCUUGAUCAAGGAGAAGUUUGAACUUGAUGCGUGGAGGAAGGGAAAAUGCAUUGAAGCAGAAUCUUAAUGAAAAUUGAAUACUAUGAAAAUUAGGUACACUUUCACUGGGAUUGAUCAUAAUCUACUCGACAACCACGUGACUAGAAAUAUAUCUCAAGGAUUUUUGUGAACUUGUCAAUCCUCUACCACCAUUUGACUAGAAAGGCUAAUAUGAUAGCUUGGACUUAUCAUCUGGAGGUUGCACUUGAAGGAAUGAUAGUUUGGCCU